rnacentral:rRNA from 1 species
CCUACGGGAGGCAGCAGUGGGGAAUAUUGGGCAAUGGAGGCAACUCUGACCCAGCAACGCCGCGUGAAUGAUGAAGUUUUUCGGAUUGUAAAGUUCUGUGAUGGGGGAUGAACACAAUGACGGUACCCCAAUAGCAAGCCACGGCUAACUACGUGCCAGCAGCCGCGGUAAUACGUAGGUGGCAAGCGUUAUCCGGAAUUACUGGGCGUAAAGGGUGCGUAGGUGGUUUUGUAAGUCUGCGGUGAAAGUCCGGGGCGCAACCCCGGCGCUACCGCGGAAACUAUGAGACUAGAGUGCAGGAGGGGUAAGUGGAAUUCCUAGUGUAGCGGUGGAAUGCGUAGAUAUUAGGAGGAACAUCAGGGGCGAAGGCGACUUACUGGACUGUAACUGACGUUGAGGCACGAAAGCGUGGGGAGCAAACAGGAUUAGAUACCCGGGUAGUC